AUUCCCUUUUCUCAAAAACCAGAACUGCUUUGCCAUCCUGCAAUUUGCAAGCAUCAACAUCUACAUCGCCGCCUCCCGACUUUGUGCUGGAUUGAAAAUAUAUUAUCAAAUCGUCAAGGGUAAUCUCAGCCGGUAUAUUGUUCACGUAAAGUGAGCAAGACAUCUUUAUUUCGCUCAGAUAAGCAUUCUAAACUACGUUGUUUGAAACCACAUAGCGACUGUAUAUUUGUUAAAC